rnacentral:rRNA from 1 species
AUUGAACGCUGGCGGCAUGCCUUACACAUGCAAGUCGAACGGCAGCGCGGGCUUCGGCCUGGCGGCGAGUGGCGGACGGGUGAGUAAUGCAUCGGAACGUGCCCAAGAGUGGGGGAUAACGUAGCGAAAGUUACGCUAAUACCGCAUACGUACUGAGGUAGAAAGCGGGGGAUCGAAAGACCUCGCGCUCAUGGAGCGGCCGAUGUCGGAUUAGCUAGUUGGCGGGGUAAAAGCCCAACAAGGCGACGAUCCGUAGCUGGUCUGAGAGGACGACCAGCCACACUGGGACUGAGACACGGCCCAGACUCCUACGGGAGGCAGCAGUGGGGAAUCUUGGACAAUGGGGGAAACCCUGAUCCAGCAAUGCCGCGUGUGGGAUGAAGGCCCUCGGGUUGUAAACCACUUUUGGCAGGAAAGAAAUCGCCUGUGCUAAUACCACGGGCGGAUGACGGUACCUGCAGAAUAAGCACCGGCUAACUACGUGCCAGCAGCCGCAGUAA